rnacentral:rRNA from 1 species
CAGUAGCCGCGGGAAUACGGAGGGCGCGAGCGUUACCCGGAUUCACUGGGCGUAAAGGGCGUGUAGGCGGCCUGGGGCGUCCCAUGUGAAAGACCACGGCUCAACCGUGGGGGAGCGUGGGAUACGCUCAGGCUAGACGGUGGGAGAGGGUGGUGGAAUUCCCGGAGUAGCGGUGAAAUGCGCAGAUACCGGGAGGAACGCCGAUGGCGAAGGCAGCCACCUGGUCCACCCGUGACGCUGAGGCGCGAAAGCGUGGGGAGCAAACCGGAUUAGAUACCCCAGUAGUCCCUGUCUCUUAUAC